AACGAACGCUGGCGGCAUGCCUAACACAUGCAAGUCGAACGAGAUCCUUCGGGGUCUAGUGGCGCACGGGUGCGUAACGCGUGGGAAUCUGCCCUUAGGUUCGGAAUAACAGUUAGAAAUGACUGCUAAUACCGGAUGAUGACGUUAAGUCCAAAGAUUUAUCGCCUGAGGAUGAGCCCGCGUAGGAUUAGCUAGUUGGUGUGGUAAAGGCGCACCAAGGCGACGAUCCUUAGCUGGUCUGAGAGGAUGAUCAGCCACACUGGGACUGAGACACGGCCCAGACUCCUACGGGAGGCAGCAGUGGGGAAUAUUGGACAAUGGGCGCAAGCCUGAUCCAGCAAUGCCGCGUGAGUGAUGAAGGCCUUAGGGUUGUAAAGCUCUUUUACCCGGGAUGAUAAUGGCAGUACCGGGAGAAUAAGCCCCGGCUAACUCCGUG
rnacentral:rRNA from 1 species